GAUGAACGCUAGCUACAGGCUUAACACAUGCAAGUCGAGGGGCAGCAUGACGGAAGCUUGCUUCCGUUGAUGGCGACCGGCGCACGGGUGAGUAACGCGUAUCCAACCUGCCCUUGUCCAUCGGAUAACCCGUCGAAAGGCGGACUAACACGAUAUGCAGGUCUCAGCAGGCAUCUAACGAGAACGAAAUGUGAAGGAGAAGGAUGGGGAUGCGUCUGAUUAGCUUGUUGGCGGGGUAACGGCCCACCAAGGCGACGAUCAGUAGGGGUUCUGAGAGGAAGGUCACCCACAUUGGAACUGAGACACGGUCCAAACUCCUACGGGAGGCAGCAGUGAGGAAUAUUGGUCAAUGGGCGAGAGCCUGAACCAGCCAAGUAGCGUGCAGGAUGACGGCCCUAUGGGUUGUAAACUGCUUUUAUACGGGGAUAAAGUGGGCCACGUGUGGCUUAUUGCAGGUACCGUAUGAAUAAGGACCGGCUAAUUCCGUGCCAGCCGCCGCGGUAA
rnacentral:rRNA from 1 species